AAUGUAUGUCAGUAUUUCUGUGGAAAUCUCACUUUUUACGGGACGUCUUUGCAGGGAUGGGACAGAACCUCAUAUCCCAGCAUGCACACGCGAGCAGAGGCUUAGACGCGAAGGCGCUUCCCUGAGCUGCGGCCGUGCGGGCGGUUCUCGCGGCGGGCCGGGCGAGCGCGCGCUGCCGCCGCUACUGCGUUCGCCACGUUCCCCGCUCGCGCUAAUUGCUACAUCACGCACGGCGCUCGCGCUCACAUUCACCGCGCCAACGCCGAGCGAUGAGCUCACAGGGCGGAGAUUCGGCGGAGCAGCACCGGCGGCAGCAGUUGCUGCGUUUAAUUUAUUUGCAUUUGAAGGAGAAUGGCUACGAGAAAGCUGCCAAGGUGCUUAAAAAGCACAUUUGUCAGAAAGAAACGGAAGCGAGCGUGACACUUUAUGAAAUAUACACCGGUUGGAUAAAAACUUCAGAUGGUUUUGGAGAUACGAAGCAGGAGCCUGGACUGAACAGGGAGAGCCCCCCGAAGAAGUCGCACCUGUCGGACUAUGCCGCCGGGGUCGAGGGAGACGAAGUCAAACCCGAAAAAGGUCACAUCAUUGAGAAGACAGAAGAACCUGAAUUUAAGCCCAUCAUUGAUGAUGGAUCUGUGUCCCCCUGUAACAAACCUUUCAUUCCCUCUGUGGUAAAAAAGUCUUCCAAAAGCACAGAAGGUCACUCAGACUGCAAAGAUGACCCUGAUGGAGACCAGCUGCAGACACCCCCUGGCCAUGCCAGUAGUGUGCCUCCUUUAGUGGAAUUAAGCAAACCCACCAUCCCUCAGGAGGAAACAGUUCCCUUGACACAGGACAUGGGAGUAAAAGUUAUAAGCUCAGACAGUGAAAGUCCUGAAGAUUCAGAAGAAGAGGAGCAGAGGCCACAACAGCAGGCUGAAGGUACUACACCAAAACCCACAGCUAUGAAGACUUCAAGUGUAGCAGGGGCCAGUGAGUCUAAGAGUUCAGCUGACAGUAAUGAUUCUCAGAGAGAAGAAGAAGCACCUGUCCAGAAACCUGGGAAAACACCAGUACGUAAAUCCUCCAAACAAAUUCCAACAAAGGGAGCCACUGCAGCCCCACUAAAGUCUAGCCAGGACACCACCAGCCAAGCUUUAGCUACACCCAAGAUCUCUGCUGCCCAGAACAAGGCUGAGUGCUCUGGGAGUGAGAGCAAUGAUAACUCAGUCAGUGACCAGGAAGUGACACAAGACCAGAAAGCUGUAUCGGACAGUCCAAAUAACACCGCUACAGAGACGACCCCUGCACCAGUUAAACCCAGUUCCACCCUUGACCUAACUGCAGCCCCUUUGAAAAGAGAAGAGAGCUCAGACGGUGAUAAUGAGUCAGAAAGUGAAGAGGCAAUUCCACCAACCCAGAAAACCAAAAUCCCAAAAGGGACACCUGCCAAGAUUUCACCCACGAGGGCAUCUAAAACUCCAGUGAAGCUCAGCCAUCCCACACCUAUCCAGGCUAAAGGUGCAAAGAAGGCUGACAGCCCAGAGAGCAGUGAUGACUCAGAGAGUGAAGAGGUAGCAACACCACCACAACAGAAAGCUGGUGUGACACCGAAAGCUAAACUUGUGUCUGGCCCUGCAAAGACAACUGCACUGAAAGGUUCAACACCAGGUAAACCUAGUUAUACCUUGGCUCCCACCACAGCCUCCUCAAAACCAGAAGAGAGCUCAGAGAGCGAUGAUGAAUCAGAAAGUGAAGAGGAGAUUCCCCCAACACAGGUAAUGUCCACUGAGCCCACAGCAAGCACACAUUUAGCCACCCCAGCAAUGGUCAACAGGGGUCAGAGUUCAGACAGGGACAGUGAGGAAUCUGAGAGCGAGGACAACGCACCUGACCAGAAACCAGAGCUGACCAUCAAGCCAAAAGUAUGUAAGGUUAUUCCAGCAAAGUCAUUGAGUGCGGUGACCCCAGUCAGAGCCAAGACCGCACCCACCACCACCUCAAAAACAACCAUGAAGACCUCAGUAUCUGUCAGACGAAAAAAGAGUACAAGCACAGACAGUGAGGACGAGAUUCCAAGAAAGUCAGCCCCAGCUAAACGGGCUUCCAUGGUGUCAGUCAAGCCUGGACAUCCCAUUCCAAGCCAGGUUAAAGCAGCACCCAAGGCCCCUUCUAAAGAGGGAAAGGCCAAGGAGGCUAGCAGUGAUGAUUCGGAGAGUGGUGAAGACCCUUCAGCGAAGAUUGCUGUGGCAGCUUCCGACAUUUUGCCCAAGAUGAAAUGCAAAUCCACAACCCAGACUGUACAGAAGACUCCGAACGCUUCAAAAAAAGUGGCCGGUGGCAGUGAGGACCUGUCCGAAAAGGACGCAUCUCUUGAAAACUCGGCUUUGAAGACUCCCAAAGCUAAACUACGUGCCGUCGCUCCAGAACUUUCAUCUGACAUCAAGAGCAGUACAACCAAGGGCACUGAGGAUGGUGCUUCCAUACUCGUUCAGGAAGUCUCAGCAAUAAUGGAUUCUGAACCUGACAUAUUAGGGACAGCAUCUUCUGAUGCAGCUCCCAAAAACUCAAAGGACGGUGAUGUCAUUGCAGAGGAGCUCUCCCAGACUUCUCUGGACCCAAAAGAAUCUAUGAAGAAAGCCACUGAAAGAAGGAAAAGGAGGAGGAAGAAGAAGAAGAAAAAAAAGAAAGCCUCUGUCCAAUUUGAGGAUGAGAACAUUUCCCCCACAGGCCCUGGUCAGGAGCUGAUUUUACCCAGUGGAGGAUCUGCCAUCAGUUUGGACCAGUUAAUAACAAUGCCAUGCAAAGCUUCUGAAGAGCCAGAAUCAUCUGAGACUGGUGUUAGUCUUAAGAAGGUUGGAUCAAAGAGCUCAAAGUCACUAGUAUCAGGAGUGAAUAGUGAGGGAGAGCCUGAAGUGAAAACCAUAGCAACAGAAGCUAUGCCUCAGGCAAAAAAGAGGAGGAGCACAGACAAAGGAGAUAUGGAACCGAAGAGUAAGAAGAAGAAGAAGAAGAAGAAAGGUGCAGACACAGAAGCAAACCCCACAGAGCUGGGGAACAACCCUCAUUCCGAGAACAAGCUUAAUUUGGAAGAGUCAGAAAAAGAGGCACUGACUCCCUCAGAUGAUGCAACUGCAAAGAUGGGCUCUGAUGACUCUAUGGAGUCCAACUCCACCACCCUCAUUUUGUCUGCAAAGGCCUUAAAGAAGAUUAAGAAAAUGAAGAAGAAAGAGAAGGUAAAAGUUAAGAAUACAGGGAGUAAAAAGAUUAAAGCCCACAAGACUAUGAGUGUCUUUACCUCUGUGGCUGAGCAGCUGCUGGCCAUUACCAAAAAAAAAGAAUUAAAGAAAGCUACUGCUGUGAAGAAGCCGCUAUUGGUGCUUGAUCCGCAAAAAAGGAAGAAAUUUGACAAAGACGGUACUAUAAGAUCAGAGCCAGAAUCUGAAAUUCCUGCUUUUAAGAAAAGAAAAAAGAAAAACAAAAGCAACAGGGAGGAGAAGACACCUUCAAAGAAGAAGCAAACUCAGGACACAGAAGACCAUGAGCUGCAAAUCCAAGGUCUGGCGGAGAGUACGCUUGUGAAGAAGAAAAAAAAGAAAAAGAAAAACAGAUGGAAAGACAGAGGAAAACUGAUCAAGACACCUUUCAAGGGGCCACAGGGGCUUCAUCUGGACACACCUCCACCUUUAGGGACUAGUCCAGAACCUUCUAAAGCCGCCUUGGGAAAAGUGAGAAAAAAGUAAAGAAAAAUUUUGUUUCAAAUGUAUUAUCACGUGUUUUACAUCAUUUUGUAAUGCUGUAAAAAGAAAGUAAUGGACUUUUUUUGUAGAUCGCGUUCCUUCAGAAACAGUGAAUGAUGGAUGGGUGAGUAGAAAAUGUUAAAAUACACUUUGUGUUACUACAUGUUUUCAUUGUAAUGUAUAAUAGAUACACCAUACUAUAUUUAAAAUCUCCACAGGAAUUGCUGUUCUCUGCGGACCCGAGAGUAGAUGAGCUGCUGGCCAGUGAAAGAGGAUCAACUCUUCCACACGGGUUAAACUAGUGUUACUUUAUAGUGAGGAAAAAGUUACUUCAGUUUGUAUGUGCUUUCUGUGAAACAUGUUUGGUUCUAUAGCAUUUUAGCAGUAAGCAAUACUACAGAGGAUGGAAGGUUUUGUUACAGCAAUAUUAUGGAUUUAUUCAGUUUUUCUAAUUGUAUGGGAUAUUUUCAGUUAGAUGCUGCUGACUCCAGUUAAGACUAUGGAAAUGAAUUCUGCAUCCAGUGUGGAUUCUCUGUACUUAAAGGUGACUUUAUAUUUGACAGGGCAGAAACAGUAGCACACAGACUAGCAUGUGAUUAUCACUGUGCUUUGGGAACAAGGUUAUACUGACCAUAGACCACCUUACUGCAGUAGUUGAAAGGGAGGCUUUUCUCCCUUAACACAUAAUACAAGUGUUUCUGCCACACACACUUUUAGACACUGUGAAACAGGCAUGUAACUGUCAUUUUUCUGGUGUUUGUUCAUUUCAGCUUUUAAUAAAUGUUAAUUUUGCAUUAUUUGAAGGAGCA
rnacentral:lncRNA from 1 species